AUUGAACGCUGGCGGCAUGCCUAACACAUGCAAGUCGAACGGCAGCGCGGGCUUCGGCCUGGCAGCGAGUGGCGAACGGGGGAGUAAUGCAUCUGAACGUGCCCAGUCGUGGGGGAUAGGGCGGCGAAAGCGGGAUUAAUACCGCAUCCGAACUGAGGGUGAAAGCGGGGGACCGAGAGGCCUCGCGCUCUUGGAGUGGCCGAGGUCGGAUGAGCUAGUUGGUGGGGUAACGGCUUACCCAGGCGACGAUCCGUAGCUGGUCUUAGAGGACGACCAGCUACACGGGGACUGAGACACGGCCCAGACUCCUACGGGAGGCAGCAGUGGGGAAUUUUGGACAAUGGGGGAAAGCCUGAUCCAGCCAUGCCGCGUGCGGGAAGAAGGCCUUCGGGUUGUAAAGUGCUUUUGUCCGGGAAGAAAUCCUCUGGGCUAAUACCCCGGGGGGAUGACGGUACCGGAAGAAUAAGCACCGGCUAACUACGUG
rnacentral:rRNA from 1 species